rnacentral:rRNA from 1 species
UACAGAGGUCUCAAGCGUUGUUCGGAAUCACUGGGCGUAAAGGGAGCGUAGGUGGCGUGGUAAGUCAGAUGUGAAAGCCCGGGGCUCAACCUCGGAAUUGCAUCCGAUACUACCAUGCUAGAGUACUGAAGAGGUGACUAGAAUUCUCGGUGUAGCAGUGAAAUGCGUAGAUAUCGAGAGGAAUACCAACGGCGAAGGCAGGUCACUGGGCAGUUACUGACACUGAGGCACGAAGGCCAGGGGAGCAAACGGG